GAUCCCUGUGGGCUGCUGCUCCAAGCCUGGAAGGGCUGUCUCUGCUCCCCUGUUGCUCUCAGCAGUGUUCUGCUUCUGCUCCUUUGGGGGUUUCCUGUUCAUUGCACCCCUGAUACAUUCCAGAGUGGGGCGGGGAGCCCAGCAAGCUGCCGCAGAGCUUCCUGAGGGAGACGAUGGGGAGGAACCACUGGAAUGGUGUCAGACAGCUGCCGAGCAGGUCGUGUCGAACAGAAAUACCGCAAACAACGCAGUGGCUCCAGGAGGAUGCAAGUGCACAAGGGUUUAAGUGACGCCCAGAUAAAAAGUGCCGUUUUGUGCCAAUGAGCUCCUCUCUUUGCCGUUUACUGUAGGCCCAGCUCCCCUGCUGCUGUCAGAGUGUCCUGCUUCCCCCCCUCAGGAAAGCACACCUUUCCUGGUCUCCUCCUCCCUGGAAUCUUGAACUCUGGUGAAGAACAUGGUGAAAUGUUCCAAGUGUAGCAGGGGCGUUACUGAAAGGGAAAAUCGUAACCGUGCCCCUGUACUCCGGUGAACGUGACCUAGAGACGUCCUAGGAACGAGGAGAUUUGCUAGAGGCAGAUGAGUAAGGAGAGUCCCAGAACGGUUCGUCUCAGAACAACAAUAAUGAGCAAGCCGCCAGGAGAGCAGAAAGAUCACAUCUUUUGUAAAAUUAGUCCCUAGUUCUCCUCUGUGGCUCUUCUGGCUCCCUUUUUCUGCUCCCUUUUCUUGCACUUUUCAGACAAUCAGGAGCAGGAAACGAGGAUGUUGAUUUUUCUCUUGGGAAAAGUACCAGAGCAUGUUUGCAAACGAUGCCAUUUCUUUACGCACAGAAAGCGCUUUCUCAUGACAUCUGCUUUCCUUUUCCCAAGAACCCUGAGGGCUGUCAUUCCCAUCUUCAGAUAAAGAGCUCGAGACCCUAAAAGAUAGCAAAAGCUUAAAUACUUUUUUCCUGGUUCACAUAGCCAGAAAGCAAGUACCACGGCUAGAAUUGAAACCCGCCCGAUUCCAAGACAUGUGUUCCUAAUCCUGAUACUGGGCUGCCUCCCGUAUUUGAUGUAUUAGGAGUCCUCAUUAUCUGGCUCUUUUUCAUACUAGUCUAGAGUUUCACAUUUCAUCAAAGUGGUGAAAUUCUUGAAGUCCAGCCUCAACAAAUUACUUGAUUUUGUGUUUUCUGACUCAGGUUCAAAUUCCUUUGACCUCAUUUUCUAUAUUUAUAGACCAGGAAAUACUAAUACCAGGUCCACUACUUUAAUUACAUUGUACUUUCAAUACUUAAUGAGAGUUCACGUCUGGACACCUUCGAAUAGUACUCAUUCCCGAGGCCUACUCAAGACCUUCGAAUCAGAAAUCCUUAGGGCUGGGCUGGGAAUCCACAGUGAAGCAAAAUGACUGUUCUUUUUAAAAAGUCACACAAGCUUUGUAUAAAACUGUCAAGAGCGCAGAAGAAGAAAGCAAGCAUCCCCAGGAGCAAGCCCUCCCCCCCCACCCCCGGAGGAGGGUGAUGGUGACAGUGGCAGCGGUGAUGAUCACAGCACAGACAAGCCAGUCCUCCUGUGUCCCAGAUCUCACACAUCUUGUCUCAUCUGCUCACCUCUCCCUUCCCAGCAGUCUUCGAGCUGACACACUGUUACCCACAUGUACAGAUAAAGUGAUGGUGGCUCACGGUCUUUGAGCAUCUGUCUCUACUAGUUUCCUCAGACUGAGAUAACAAAGUACCACAGGGAGUUCCCAUCGUGGCUCCGCAGUAAUGAACCUGACUAGUAUCCAUAAGGAUGAGGGUUCGAUCCCUGGCCUCACUGUGGGUUAAGGAUACGGUGUUGCUGUGAGCUCUGUUGCAGGUCACAUGUGGCUCAGAUCUGGUGUUCCUGUGGCUGUGGCGUAGGCUGGCAACUGCAGCUCCAAUUCAACCCCUAGCCUGGGAACAUCCAUAUGCUGUGGGUGCGGCCCUAAAAGUAAAAAAAAAAAAAAGUACCACAAGCUGGGUGGCUUAGAACAGCAGAUGAACCCAGCCAGUUGUGAGGCUGGAAGUGGGGCAUCUCGGUGUCAGCAGGGCCGUGCUCCCGUUGAAGCCUCCCUGAGGCUCCUUCCUUCCUCUUCCAGCUGCCGAUAGCCUGGGGCAGUCCAUGCCUGGGCUAGUCGGUGCCUGGGCUUUUAUGUGCCAUCUCUGCCUCUGUCUUCACCUGACAGUCUUACUUCUGUGUGUGUCUGUGCCCAAAUUUCCCUCUUUUAAGGACAGGAGUCUUCUUGGAUGAGGGCCCACCCCUGGCAAGUCAUCAUAAGUGAUUCCAUCUGCCAAGACCCAAUUUCCAAAUAAGGUGACAUGCUGAGGUCCUGGGGCCCAGGACUUCAACUUACCUUUUUAGAAGACACAGUUCAACCCAGAAGCUAUCCAAGGAUACAAUGGCUAGUAGAGUGUGAGACUGGAUUUAAACUUGGGUGAUGUUAGAACCUGGCCCCAUGGCUGUGAGCCACCACCUAUUCUAUCUCGGCGAUGCCCUCGGGGCCUUGUGCUGUGGUGCCUUCAGCAGGGGAAGGAGUAAUAAACGCAGAAAACUUCUUGCAACUCUUGAGAAAAAAUUUGUUUAUGAGAACACAAACCCUGGGGCUAGUCUCAGACAUUUGCUCUACAACAGUUAGCUACAAACAACUCCACAGCAUUUUGAGGUGGGGGGUGAGUUACGAUGGAAGAACUUUACACCCAGCAAUUUGUCUUUCAGUGGCACAGGCGGGCAUUCUCAGAAAUGCAAGGGCUCCGAAAAUAUUCCACAUGUUGAAAAACUAUUUGAACAUACAUUCCAGUGGUUCAUAGGGUUUGGGAUUAUGUAGACCAGAAAAAAAUCUCAAAAAUAAUUUGGAAACCAACGGACGGAUUGCCAACUUUUAACUUUGUAAAGGCAUUUAAAGCCAAUCAAACUGCCAUUGAGUGCACACAUAUAAUGGCUUCAUAAAAGAUAGAUCGUCUUAACGCCAAAAAUAUGAAAAGGCUGUAACCUGGUAGCUAUUUCAAGGGGGAAGUUUAACUUUAUGAAAAAAUAUUUGUAUUUAAUACAUCUUACCCCAGAGCGGUGAAGAACUUUCUCUGUAGAUAAGAUCUCAACCCUGAAGGGGUUUUUGAAAACCAGGAACUCCCAGGGACCCAACGAAGGAUAAGCGAAAAUGGGGCCUGGCCAGAAGACGGGAUUUAUGCCACUGAGGGAAAAAUACGAUUUGAAACUGACCAUAAUCAUUUCCAUUUUCUAAGGAGCGUUUCAGGGGGCAAAUAAAUCUUUGCAGUGCUACCCCUGCCACCGAGAGAGGGUGGUGGAGGCAGAGAGGAAAAGAGAGAACUUGUUCCCUCUGCUGACAUCUGGGCUUCCACUUAGUUUUUUCCGAGUUCUCACGAAAAGACCUAUGCAAGGACCCCUGGUUUGAAAUGAUGCUUUGCAUUCGCACAUUUAAUUAACACUCCCUCCCUGAGCCUCUGUAAAAAGAGCGUGCCUGCAUGCAAACUGAGGGUACGGUACUGCCCGCUUGGCUGUAAUUGCUAAAAACUUCUGCACGCUCAAGUACAGGUGAGGCCAGCCUGGGAAAAGAGCCCAUCAAUCAGCGGUUCAUGACAUAUAAAGGGUGAGACUCGAGACUGGAGGAAGAGGAGGGGACCAGGACCUCCCUCCCAAACGUACAGGACGAGGGGCCGGGAGCCAGGACAAACAGAGUCUGUAGGCCAGCAUACCGGGGACAGACACGGAGGCUGCUCGAAGCGUUCAAUCGCAUUUAUUUUUGGAAUGAGUUCCUGGACUAAGUAAAGAGGGGCAGCAGUGGAGCCGGCUUAAAGCUGAGGAAGUGGGUUUGAGUCGGGAAAUUCUGCCCUGGAGCGUUGCCCUAGAGCCCAAGCUAAGUGUGAAGUAGAACCACGAUCAGGAAUGGCAGCUCUGAGGGACCGAGGUGAUGUCCCUUCCCCACAUCAGUUCCGUCCUCACCUGCGAGGCAGAUGGACCUCCUGUCUGGCAUAAAGUAACACUGCGGUACAUCAGAACCCGACUUCCUUAUCGCCAUAGCAACAGAGAUGUCGCUCCGAAAGACGUGCGCCAAAUAAGACAUCUGCAACCUUUACGAAGGGAUUUAUUUGUACUAGGGGAACAACUAAAUCCUCAGAUGAAAUGUCUUGACACAAAUGAAAGGUUCCCUCCUUGCUACUGGAAGCUUGAUGCCCGCCGGUGACUUGUCAAGGCCGCUGAAUUCCAAGCAGUAACCCGGAGAUCCAGGCUGCCUCCCCCUCGUGUGUGGCUCCACCAUCCUCAGUAUGUACCCUCUGCGGUCGCCACCUUAUUAAAGAAGGAGGUGCACGUGGGCUCUUGAUGCCCUCUGAUCGUAGGUGGCAGAUGUCUUUUAUGCUUCCAGCCCAUUAUCCAGGACGAAUCAGAUGUCCUCGACGUAACUACAAGGCAAGGGCGUCAGGAGAAGCAGGUGAGCAGUGAAGGACGUGAUCACCCGUCUACACAGGGGCAGAAAAAUGACACGCAUACCCUGCGUCUGCAUCAGGAGAGAUAGUUAUAGCGACUUUAUUUUUCAAAAAUUCUUUGUUAGAGUUGAUUUACAAGUUCUGUCUGUUUCUUCUGUACAGAAAAGUGACCCCGCCAUACAUGCGUCUAUGUUCUUUCUCUCACAUAAUCUUCAAUCCUGUUUUAUCACAAGCGAUUGGAUGUAGUUCCCUGGUAAUGACUUUAAUUCUCUCAUAUAUAACGGAAUGGCUGUAACAUAAGCCCUGACACGGUCCUUAAUAAAAUAAAGCCAGGGUUUUUCAGGAAGGAUAAAUGAGCAAGAAUAACCAGGAAAAGUUGGGAAGUAAAGUAGAACAAGGCAGCAAUCUCCGCUCAGGUGUUAAAAUGUAUGGUGAAGCUCCAGGUGUUAAAAUGAUCUGGUGGGACUUGCCCAGAAUAGAUAGCAAGAUCAUUGGAAUAGAAUGAAAAGUCUAAGAACAGGCCAAAGAGUAUCCAGGGAUUUAGUGUGUUUAGAUAAGCGCAGCAUGUUAAAUCAGCAUGGAAACGAGUGUUUCUCUUCAAAACAGCACAGGAACCACUGACUCGCCACGUGGGAGGGAACGUACCCUGUUCCUCAGGCUUUUCUCCGAAAUGUGCUUCAGGUGGAUCAGAACGUUAAAUGAGUUAAUAGAGGAAGAUGGAGGCUUGGGAAGGCGAGUCUUAGCGGGACUCUAUGGAGAUAGAGAUGCUUGCACUUGUUUAACCUAAAAAUGUUAAAUGUUUUUGUGCCCCAAACAACAGAUCAAGUUGAAUCAAAAAAGAGGAAAGAAAGCCCAUCGCGUGUGACAGACAAGAAAGUGCUACCGUUAAAAGGCAAACAGUUCUAGAGGUAAAUAAGAAAUGCACAAAAUUGGAGUUCCCGUCGUGGCACAGUGGUUAACGAAUCCGACUAGGAACCAUGAGGUUGCGGGUUCGGUCCCUGCCCUUGCUCAGUGGGUUAACGAUCCGGCGUUGCUGUGAGCUGUGGUGUAGGUUGCAGACGCGGCUCGGAUCCCGAGUUGCUGUGGCUCUGGCGUAGGCCGGCGGCUACAGCUCCGAUUGGACUCCUCGCCUGGGAACUUCCAUAUGCCGCGGGAGCGGCCCAAGAAAUGGCAAAAA
rnacentral:lncRNA from 1 species